rnacentral:rRNA from 1 species
UACGUAGGGUGCAAGCGUUGUCCGGAAUUAUUGGGCGUAAAGAGCUCGUAGGCGGUUUGGCGCGUCUGCUGUGAAAACGCGAGGCUCAACCCCGGGCCUGCAGUGGGUACGGGCAGACUAGAGUGCGGUAGGGGAGACUGGAAUUCCUGGUGUAGCGGUGAAAUGCGCAGAUAUCAGGAGGAACACCGGUGGCGAAGGCGGGUCUCUGGGCCGUAACUGACGCUGAGGAGCGAAAGCGUGGGGAGCGAACAGG